rnacentral:rRNA from 1 species
GUGGAUUAGAUACCCUGGUAGUCCACACCGUAAACGUUGGGCGCUAGGUGUGGGGAACCUUCCACGUUCUCCGUGCCGCAGCUAACGCAUUAAGCGCCCCGCCUGGGGAGUACGGCCGCAAGGCUAAAACUCAAAGGAAUUGACGGGGGCCCGCACAAGCGGCGGAGCAUGUGGCUUAAUUCGACGCAACGCGAAGAACCUUACCAAGGCUUGACAUAUACCGAAAACUCGUAGAGAUACGGGGUCCGCAAGGGCGGUAUACAGGUGGUGCAUGGUCGUCGACAACU